rnacentral:rRNA from 1 species
GAUGAACGCUGGCGGCGUGCCUAAUACAUGCAAGUCGAGCGAACAGACGAGGAGCUUGCUCCUCUGACGUUAGCGGCGGACGGGUGAGUAACACGUGGAUAACCUACCUAUAAGACUGGGAUAACUUCGGGAAACCGGAGCUAAUACCGGAUAAUAUAUUGAACCGCAUGGUUCAAUAGUGAAAGACGGUUUUGCUGUCACUUAUAGAUGGAUCCGCGCCGCAUUAGCUAGUUGGUAAGGUAACGGCUUACCAAGGCAACGAUGCGUAGCCGACCUGAGAGGGUGAUCGGUCACACUGGAACUGAGACACGGUCCAGACUCCUACGGGAGGCAGCAGUAGGGAAUCUUCCGCAAUGGGCGAAAGCCUGACGGAGCAACGCCGCGUGAGUGAUGAAGGUCUUCGGAUCGUAAAACUCUGUUAUUAGGGAAGAACAAAUGUGUAUGUAACUAUGCACGUCUUGACGGUACCUAAUCAGAAAGCCACGGCUAACUACGUG